GUGACAUUCUCAAAGAGGUCUUGCUUGCCAUUAUCAUCACGGUUCAACCAGCUGAACAUCUUGUUGUUUGAUAGUUAAUCUACCUGAAAUAUGAAAACCCAUGUAUUAAUUAAAAAUGAUAACAGCCAAAAGUUAGAGCAUUUUUAGUUAUAUGGAAACUAAACACCUGUAAUGGUGCUUCAAUACUUCUUUCUACGAGUUACAUUUGUAAUCCGAGAAGAACCCAAGCAUCUACGAUCCAUGCAACCAAGCAAUAGCCUCUUCCAUUCAAUGCAAAUUCAAUUUACAAAAACUCCUUUCUCCGAUGAUGACUUAAACUAUCAUCUAGCAAUUAUCUCAGUAAUUAUCCCAGUAAUUAUGGCAGAACCCUAUCAUGUGAUCAUCUCUUCGAAGACUCUGCUUCGAAGAGCAUUAUACAGCAAAAGACUAUUUAGACCAAUAUGCUCUAGAAAGCCUCAUGAGUACUUAUAGAAAUAAAAAAGAAGAAAUCACUGAUA